GGGACACGUGGUAUCCUGUCUGAAUAUGGGGGGACCAUCCUCCAAGGCUAAAUACUCCUGACUGACCGAUAGUGAACCAGUACCGUGAGGGAAAGGCGAAAAGAACCCCGGCGAGGGGAGUGAAAAAGAACCUGAAACCGUGUACGUACAAGCAGUGGGAGCACAGAGCAAUCUGUGUGACUGCGUACCUUUUGUAUAAUGGGUCAGCGACUUAUAUUCUGUAGCAAGGUUAACCGAAUAGGGGAGCCGAAGGGAAACCGAGUCUUAACUGGGCGUUAAGUUGCAGGGUAUAGACCCGAAACCCGGUGAUCUAGCCAUGGGCAGGUUGAAGGUUGGGUAACACUAACUGGAGGACCGAACCGACUAAUGUUGAAAAAUUAGCGGAUGACUUGUGGCUGGGGGUGAAAGGCCAAUCAAACCGGGAGAUAGCUGGUUCUCCCCGAAAGCUAUUUAGGUAGCGCCUCGUGAAUUCAUCUCCGGGGGUAGAGCACUGUUUCGGCAAGGGGGUCAUCCCGACUUACCAACCCGAUGCAAACUGCGAAUACCGGAGAAUGUUAUCACGGGAGACACACGGCGGGUGCUAACGUCCGUCGUGAAGAGGGAAACAACCCAGACCGCCAGCUAAGGUCCCAAAGUCAUGGUUAAGUGGGAAACGAUGUGGGAAGGCCCAGACAGCCAGGAUGUUGGCUUAGAAGCAGCCAUCAUUUAAAGAAAGCGUAAUAGCUCACUGGUCGAGUCGGCCUGCGCGGAAGAUGUAACGGGGCUAAACCAUGCACCGAAGCUGCGGCAGCGACACUAUGUGUUGUUGGGUAGGGGAGCGU
rnacentral:rRNA from 1 species